rnacentral:rRNA from 1 species
AUUGAACGCUGGCGGCAUGCCUUACACAUGCAAGUCGAACGGUAACGGGCCUUCGGGUGCCGACGAGUGGCGAACGGGUGAGUAAUGUAUCGGAACGUACCUUUCAGUGGGGGAUAACGUAGCGAAAGUUACGCUAAUACCGCAUAUUCUGUGAGCAGGAAAGCAGGGGAUCGCAAGACCUUGCGCUGAUUGAGCGGUCGAUAUCAGAUUAGCUAGUUGGUGAGGUAAAGGCACAGCAAGGCGACGAUCUGUAGCGGGUCUGAGAGGAUGAUCCGCCAACCUGGAACUGGGACACUGUCCAGGCUCCUACGGGAGGAAGCAGUGGGGAAUUUUGGACAAUGGGGGCAACCCUGAUCCAGCCAUGCCGCGUGAGUGAAGAAGGCCUUCGGGUUGUAAAGCUCUUUCGGCCGGGAAGAAAUCGUAUCAGCUAAUACCUGGUGCGGAUGACGGUACCGGCAUAAGAAGCACCGGCUAACUACGUGCCAGCCGCCGCCGUAAGAC